rnacentral:rRNA from 1 species
UACGUAGGGGGCAAGCGUUGUCCGGAUUUAUUGGGCGUAAAGCGCGUGUAGGUGGUGGGACAAGUCUGCUGUGAAAGCGCCUGGCUUAACCGGGCGAGGUCGGCGGAAACUGUCCGACUCGAGGACGGUAGAGGGGGGUGGAAUUCCCGGUGUAGUGGUGAAAUGCGUAGAGAUCGGGAGGAACACCAGUGGCGAAGGCGGCUUGCUGGGCCGGACCUGACGCUGAGACGCGAAGGCGUGGGGAGCGAACGGGAGUUAG